rnacentral:lncRNA from 1 species
UGUAUAUUCUAGCAUGUCUUUUAUAUUGGAGCUAGGGCGCGAGAACAACUAAGGUGAAUACGGAUUUGGGAAUUGUAAGUUAUAGAGGGGUUUUUUAGUCAUAUAGCCUCAAAAUCAGUUAAUUCGGACUGAACAUAACCAUGGAGCGCAAGAAACUUCUUGUCCAUGGGGACUAAGAAUACAAUUCCGGUUCAAGCAGGGAUCCAGAGGACAAUUUCAUAAGUGA